rnacentral:rRNA from 1 species
GGUUAAGCGACUAAGCGUACACGGUGGAUGCCCUGGCAGUCAGAGGCGAUGAAGGGCGUGCUAAUCUGCGAUAAGCGCCGGUAAGGUGAUAUGAACCGUUAUAACCGGCGAUACCCGAAUGGGGAAACCCAGUGUGACUCGUCACACUAUCAUUAACUGAAUCCAUAGGUUAAUGAGGCGAACCGGGGGAACUGAAACAUCUAAGUACCCCGAGGAAAAGAAAUCAACCGAGAUUCCCCCAGUAGCGGCGAGCGAACGGGGAGGAGCCCAGAGCCUGAAUCAGCAUGUGUGUUAGUGGAAGCGUCUGGAAAGGCGCGCGAUACAGGGUGACAGCCCCGUACACAAAAGCGCAUGUGCUGUGAGCUCGAUGAGUAGGGCGGGACACGUGGUAUCCUGUCUGAAUAUGGGGGGACCAUCCUCCAAGGCUAAAUACUCCUGACUGACCGAUAGUGAACCAGUACCGUGAGGGAAAGGCGAAAAGAACCCCGGCGAGGGGAGUGAAAAAGAACCUGAAACCGUGUACGUACAAGCAGUGGGAGCACAGGUUUACCUGUGUGACUGCGUACCUUUUGUAUAAUGGGUCAGCGACUUAUAUUCUGUAGCAAGGUUAACCGAAUAGGGGAGCCGGAGGGAAACCGAGUCUUAAUUGGGCGUUAAGUUGCAGGGUAUAGACCCGAAACCCGGUGAUCUAGCCAUGGGCAGGUUGAAGGUUGGGUAACACUAACUGGAGGACCGAACCGACUAAUGUUGAAAAAUUAGCGGAUGACCUGUGGCUGGGGGUGAAAGGCCAAUCAAACCGGGAGAUAGCUGGUUCUCCCCGAAAGCUAUUUAGGUAGCGCCUCGUGAAUUCAUCUCCGGGGGUAGAGCACUGUUUCGGCUAGGGGGCCAUCCCGGCUUACCAACCCGAUGCAAACUGCGAAUACCGGAGAAUGUUAUCACGGGAGACACACGGCGGGUGCUAACGUCCGUCGUGAAGAGGGAAACAACCCAGACCGCCAGCUAAGGUCCCAAAGUCAUGGUUAAGUGGGAAACGAUGUGGGAAGGCCCAGACAGCCAGGAUGUUGGCUUAGAAGCAGCCAUCAUUUAAAGAAAGCGUAAUAGCUCACUGGUCGAGUCGGCCUGCGCGGAAGAUGUAACGGGGCUAAACCAUGCACCGAAGCUGCGGCAGCGACACUGUGUGUUGUUGGGUAGGGGAGCGUUCUGUAAGCCUGUGAAGNNNNNNNNNNNNNNNNNNNNNNNNNNNNNNNNNNNNNNNNNNNNNNNNNNNNNNNNNNNNNNNNNNNNNNNNNNNNNNNNNNNNNNNNNNNNNGUUGCUGGAGGUAUCAGAAGUGCGAAUGCUGACAUAAGUAACGAUAAAGCGGGUGAAAAGCCCGCUCGCCGGAAGACCAAGGGUUCCUGUCCAACGUUAAUCGGGGCAGGGUGAGUCGACCCCUAAGGCGAGGCCGAAAGGCGUAGUCGAUGGGAAACGGGUUAAUAUUCCCGUACUUGGUGUUACUGCGAAGGGGGGACGGAGAAGGCUAUGUUGGCCGGGCGACGGUUGUCCCGGUUUAAGCGUGUAGGUGUGUGUUCCAGGUAAAUCCGGUUCACUUUAACACUGAGGCGUGACGACGAGGCACUACGGUGCUGAAGCAACAAAUGCCCUGCUUCCAGGAAAAGCCUCUAAGCAUCAGGUAACAUCAAAUCGUACCCCAAACCGACACAGGUGGUCAGGUAGAGAAUACCAAGGCGCUUGAGAGAACUCGGGUGAAGGAACUAGGCAAAAUGGUGCCGUAACUUCGGGAGAAGGCACGCUGACACGUAGGUGAAGUGAUUUACUCAUGGAGCUGAAGUCAGUCGAAGAUACCAGCUGGCUGCAACUGUUUAUUAAAAACACAGCACUGUGCAAACACGAAAGUGGACGUAUACGGUGUGACGCCUGCCCGGUGCCGGAAGGUUAAUUGAUGGGGUCAGCGCAAGCGAAGCUCCUGAUCGAAGCCCCGGUAAACGGCGGCCGUAACUAUAACGGUCCUAAGGUAGCGAAAUUCCUUGUCGGGUAAGUUCCGACCUGCACGAAUGGCGUAAUGAUGGCCAGGCUGUCUCCACCCGAGACUCAGUGAAAUUGAACUCGCUGUGAAGAUGCAGUGUACCCGCGGCAAGACGGAAAGACCCCGUGAACCUUUACUAUAGCUUGACACUGAACAUUGAGCCUUGAUGUGUAGGAUAGGUGGGAGGCUUUGAAGUGUGGACGCCAGUCUGCAUGGAGCCGACCUUGAAAUACCACCCUUUAAUGUUUGAUGUUCUAACGUGGACCCGUUACCCGGGUUGCGGACAGUGUCUGGUGGGUAGUUUGACUGGGGCGGUCUCCUCCUAAAGAGUAACGGAGGAGCACGAAGGUUGGCUAAUCCUGGUCGGACAUCAGGAGGUUAGUGCAAUGGCAUAAGCCAGCUUGACUGCGAGCGUGACGGCGCGAGCAGGUGCGAAAGCAGGUCAUAGUGAUCCGGUGGUUCUGAAUGGAAGGGCCAUCGCUCAACGGAUAAAAGGUACUCCGGGGAUAACAGGCUGAUACCGCCCAAGAGUUCAUAUCGACGGCGGUGUUUGGCACCUCGAUGUCGGCUCAUCACAUCCUGGGGCUGAAGUAGGUCCCAAGGGUAUGGCUGUUCGCCAUUUAAAGUGGUACGCGAGCUGGGUUUAGAACGUCGUGAGACAGUUCGGUCCCUAUCUGCCGUGGGCGCUGGAGAACUGAGGGGGGCUGCUCCUAGUACGAGAGGACCGGAGUGGACGCAUCACUGGUGUUCGGGUUGUCAUGCCAAUGGCACUGCCCGGUAGCUAAAUGCGGAAGAGAUAAGUGCUGAAAGCAUCUAAGCACGAAACUUGCCCCGAGAUGAGUUCUCCCUGAGACUUA